rnacentral:rRNA from 1 species
GGACUACUGGGGUAUCUAAUCCCGUUCGCUCCCCCAGCUUUCGCGUCUCAGCGUCAGGAACAGGCCAGGAAGCCGCCUUCGCCACUGGCGUUCCUCCCGAUAUCUACGCAUUUCACCGCUACACCGGGAAUUCCACUUCCCUCUCCUGUCCUCGAGUCCGGUAGUAUCCCGCGGCGUCCUCCAGUUGAGCCGGAGGCUUUCACACGGGACUGACCGAACCGCCUACACGCGCUUUACGCCCAGUGAUUCCGGACAACGCUUGCCCCCUACGUCUUACCGCGGCGGCUGGCAC